GUCAGAGAGGAACAGGCUCCAUUUUAAAAGUCCUGUUGAAGAUGAUACGUGUAGAACUUUUAGUUCUCUCUCUCCUAACAGUCUUAUCAGUGGUGAUGGGAGAUACCAUUGGUUACCUGGGAGAGUCUGUCACCUUAUCCUCUGGAGCCAAUCCAUCCUGGCACAUCACCAAGAUAACGUGGUCCAUAUACAACAACGACACUUGGAUCGCAACAUUCAAGGGCAAAAAUAGCCACACAGAAUGGGUCGGGCAGUUUAAGAGUCGACUGAGUCUCAACACCUCGUCUGGUGACUUGGAGAUCAGAGAUGUUCAGAGAGGGGAUGAACUGGUUUACUCUGUUCUCCUCACACACAGUCAGGGGGAGCAGCAGAUCAGUAAGGUACCGCUCACUGUGACAGAGCGUCUCGUUGAGCCUAGUGUUCGAAAGGUCUUCAGCAUUUUGAAGGACGGACACUGUGUGAUGGCUCUUCAGUGCUCCUCUUCGGUGAAGGACACCAGCUUUUCUUGGGAACCAGAGGCUUCCUUUGACGGCUCCUUCUGGAGGGGGAGUCCCAACGCCUCUGUUGUCUGGACGUCUUACAGCCCCAACAGAAAUGUCACCUUCAUCUGUACUGCCAGCAACGGGCUCACUAACGCCUCUAAGGUUGUGAGGGAGACAUGCCAAGAUGAACAGCCAAAUCCUGACGUGGUGGUAGAGGGGGAGAACCGCGUCCCCGGGAUCAUAAAGUUGCUCUUAGGAUUUCUGUUCGGAUGUCUUUUAACAUAUAUUUUCAGAGGUGCAAAAUAGAAGAUAUCACUCACUGACUGCCUUGUUUAAUGUCUAUCAUAGAGUCCCUCACAUGCUUAUCAACCAGGUUCAACAAGGGUCAAAGCAUCAACCAGGUGGGUCCUACACUUUCGGGAGUUGAAAAAAACUCCAGCCUACCUAUAGAGAGGAGCUGAACAUCGUAGCUGUCAAACCAAAACCCCAGCCAACCUGUAGACAGGAGCUGAACAUCGUAGCUGUCAAACCAAAACCCCAGCCUACCUGUAGACAGGAGCUGAACAUCGUAGCUGUCAAACCAAAACCCCAGCCUACCUGUAGACAGGAGCUGAACAUCGUAGCUGUCAAACCAAAACCCCAGCCUACCUGUAGACAGGAGCUGAACAUCGUAGCCUGAUGAAGAGCAUCUGCCCUGACUGACAUUUCUCCCUGGCUGUACCAUCUACAGUGCCUUGCAAAAGUAUUCACCCAUCUUGGUGUUUUUCCUAUAUUGUUACAUUACAACUUGUAAUUUAAAUGGAUUUUUAUUUGAAUUUCAUGUAAUGGACAUAGACAUUAUAGUCUAAAUUGGUGAGGUGAAAUGAAAAAAAGAACUUCACCCCCUUUGCUAUGAAGCCUCUAAAUAAGAUCUGGUGCAAUCAAUUACCUUCAGAAGUCACAUAAUUAGUUAAAUAAAGGCCACCUGUGUGCAAUCUAAGUGUCACAUGAUCUGUCACAUGAUCUCAGUAUAUGCAACUUUUCAGGAAAGGUAGGAACCAAUCUGCACAGGCAGUUAGGAAAGCAAAGGCUAGCUUUUUCAGACAGAAAUUUG